rnacentral:rRNA from 1 species
UACGUAGGCAGCGAGCGUUGUUCGGAGUUACUGGGCGUAAAGAGUGCGUAGGCGGUUUUCUAAGUUGGUGUGAAAUCUCCCGGCUUAACUGGGAGGGUGCGCCGAAAACUGGAAGGCUUGAGUAUGGGAGAGGUAAGCGGAAUUCCUGGUGUAGCGGUGAAAUGCGUAGAUAUCAGGAGGAACACCUGCGGUGUAGACGGCUUACUGGACCAUAACUGACGCUGAGGCACGAAAAGCGUGGGUAGCAAACAGG